CACCUGGGAGUCUUGUUAAAGUCUGGAGUGGAGCCUCAAGAUUCUGCAUUUCUAACAAGCUCCCAAGUGAUG
rnacentral:pre_miRNA from 1 species